rnacentral:rRNA from 1 species
GCCUUUAGAUUUUUAAUUAUAGGUCGAACCUGCCCGAUGAGUAAUUUGAAUGGCUGCAGUAAUUUAACUGUACUAAGGUAGCAUAAUCAUUUGUCUUUUAAUUGGAGACUGGAAUGAAGGGGUUGACGGAGUAACAACUGUCUCAAGUAUUUUUUUUUAAUUUAACUUUUUAGUAAAAAGGCUAAGAUGAAAUUGAGGGACGAAAAGACCCCGUCAAGUUUAAUAGAAUUAUUUUUUAUUUUCUUAGAUGAAUUUGUUUUUUAUUUAACUGGGGCGGUUGAAAUAGUAUAUCUUUUUUUGAUUUAGGUUGGUAAUGAUUAUUAAAAUUUAUUUUUGAUCCAAGUAUAUUGAUUAUAUGAUUAAAUUACUGCGGGGGUAACAGCGUUAUUCUUUUUUAGAGUUCAUAUUGAUAAAAGAGAUUGCGACCUCGAUGUUGGAUUAAAGUUUUCUUUAGGGUGAAUAAGUUCUAGUGAGAGAGUCUGUUCGACUUUUAAAAUUUUACA